rnacentral:rRNA from 1 species
CAGUCGCCGCGGUAAUACAGAGGGUGCAAGCGUUAAUCGGAAUUACUGGGCGUAAAGCGCGCGUAGGUGGUUUGUUAAGUUGGAUGUGAAAUCCCCGGGCUCAACCUGGGAACUGCAUCCAAAACUGGCAAGCUAGAGUAUGGUAGAGGGUGGUGGAAUUUCCUGUGUAGCGGUGAAAUGCGUAGAGAUCUGGAGGAAUACCGGUGGCGAAGGCGGCCCCCUGGACAAAGACUGACGCUCAGGUGCGAAAGCGUGGGGAGCAAACAGGAUUAGAUACCCCUGUAGUCCCUGUCUCUUAUAC